UACGUAGGGUGCGAGCGUUAAUCGGAAUACUGGGCGUAAAGCGUGCGCAGGCGGUUUUGUAAGACAGAGGUGAAAUCCCCGGGCUCAACCUGGGAACUGCCUUUGUGACUGCAAGGCUUGAGUGCGGCAGAGGGGGAUGGAAUUCCGCGUGUAGCAGUGAAAUGCGUAGAGAUGUGGAGGAACACCGAUGGCGAAGGCAGCCCCCUGGGCCAACACUGACGCUCAGGCACGAAAGCGUGGGGAGCAAACAGG
rnacentral:rRNA from 1 species